CUUGGUCAUUUAGAGGAAGUAAAAGUCGUAACAAGGUUUCCGUAGGUGAACCUGCGGAAGGAUCAUUAAAGAGUAAGGGUGCUCAGCGCCCGACCUCCAACCCUUUGUUGUUAAAACUACCUUGUUGCUUUGGCGGGACCGCUCGGUCUCGAGCCGCUGGGGAUUCGUCCCAGGCGAGCGCCCGCCAGAGUUAAACCAAACUCUUGUUAUUUAACCGGUCGUCUGAGUUAAAAUUUUGAAUAAAUCAAAACUUUCAACAACGGAUCUCUUGGUUCUCGCAUCGAUGAAGAACGCAGCGAAAUGCGAUAAGUAAUGUGAAUUGCAGAAUUCAGUGAAUCAUCGAAUCUUUGAACGCACAUUGCGCCCCUUGGUAUUCCGAGGGGCAUGCCUGUUCGAGCGUCAUUACACCACUCAAGCUAUGCUUGGUAUUGGGUGCCGUCCUUAGUUGGGCGCGCCUUAAAGACCUCGGCGAGGCCUCACCGGCUUUAGGCGUAGUAGAAUUUAUUCGAACGUCUGUCAAAGGAGAGGACUUCUGCCGACUGAAACCUUUAUUUUUCUAGGUUGACCUCGGAUCAGGUAGGGAUACCCGCUGAACUUAAGCAUAUCAAUAA
rnacentral:rRNA from 1 species